UACAGAGGUGGCAAGCGUUGUUCGGAAUUACUGGGCGUAAAGGGCGCGUAGGCGGCUUGGUCAGUCCCGUGUGAAAUCCCUCGGCUCAACUGAGGAACUGCACGGGAAACUGCCUGGCUUGAGUUCGGGAGAGGGAAGCGGAAUUCCGGGUGUAGCGGUGAAAUGCGUAGAUAUCCGGAGGAACACCGAUGGCGAAGGCAGGUCUCUGGGCCACUACUGACGCUGAGAAGCGAAAGCAUGGGGAGCGAACAGG
rnacentral:rRNA from 1 species